rnacentral:rRNA from 1 species
CGAGUGGCGGACGGGUGAGUAAUGUCUGGGAAACUGCCCGAUGGAGGGGGAUAACUACUGGAAACGGUAGCUAAUACCGCAUAACGUCGCAAGACCAAAAGGGGACCUUCGGGCCUCUUGCCAUCGGAUGUGCCCAGAUGGGAUUAGCUAGUAGGUGGGGUAACGGCUCACCUAGGCGACGAUCCCUAGCUGGUCUGAGAGGAUGACCAGCCACACUGGAACUGAGACACGGUCCAG